AUUUUUUAAAAAAGGAACAAAGGUUUCUCUCCAAAGGAGAUGAAAUGUAUAGGUUGGAAAAUCUGGCAAAGGAACAGAGCCAUGCUCAGCUCAUAGUGUCCGGUAUCUCUUCCAGAUCUGCCUGCCUACAGAGGGGAUACUGGGGUCUGCUCUGCCACCACGUGGUAAGCUCACUGGGGCGGCUCUGCAGCUUUGGCGGUGGGUGAUCAAGAUCAAUUCUGCGAUGAACCAGGCUUCUCACUGUUGUGGCUUCUCCCUUUGCGGAGCACAGGCUCCAGACGCGCAGGCUCAGCGGCCAUGGUUCACGGGCCCAGCCACUCCGCGGCAUGUGGGAUCCUCCUGGACCGGGGCACAAACCCGUGUCCCCUGCAUCGGCAGGCGGACUCUCAACCACUGCGCCACCAGGGAAGCCCUAAAUACUCUCUUGUACAAGUUUCAUUCCUGACAUAAAAACUGGACAUGCCACAGGAACGAAUUUUGUCAGCUAUGGUGUUGAAAAUAUAAAAUGUUACAGGUUUGGUAAAUCGAAACUGCCAGGAAGAAUCCAGAGUGGGACUAUCUCCAUGGCAACACUUUUUUAACUUUUUGAG